rnacentral:rRNA from 1 species
GAUGAACGCUGGCGGCGCGCCUAAUACAUGCAAGUCGAGCGAAUGGAUUAAGAGCUUGCUCUUAUGAAGUUAGCGGCGGACGGGUGAGUAACACGUGGGUAACCUGCCCAUAAGACUGGGAUAACUCCGGGAAACCGGGGCUAAUACCGGAUAACAUUUUGAACCGCAUGGUUCGAACUUGAAAGGCGGCUUCGGCUGUCACUUAUGGAUGGACCCGCGUCGCAUUAGCUAGUUGGUGAGGUAACGGCUCACCAAGGCAACGAUGCGUAGCCGACCUGAGAGGGUGAUCGGCCACACUGGGACUGAGACACGGCCCAGACUCCUACGGGAGGCAGCAGUAGGGAAUCUUCCGCAAUGGACGAAAGUCUGACGGAGCAACGCCGCGUGAGUGAUGAAGGCUUUCGGGUCGUAAAACUCUGUUGUUAGGGAAGAACAAGUGCUAGUUGAAUAAGCUGACACCUUGACGGUACCUAACCAGAAAGCCACGGCUAACUACGUGCCAGCCGCCGCCGUAA